AGCGUAGACGGCGAAGCAAGUCUGAAGUGAAAGCCCGGGGCUUAACCCCGGGACUGCUUUGGAAACUGUUUUGCUAGAGUGCUGGAGAGGUAAGUGGAAUUCCUAGUGUAGCGGUGAAAUGCGUAGAUAUUAGGAGGAACACCAGUGGCGAAGGCGGCUUACUGGACAGUAACUGACGUUGAGGCUCGAAAGCGUGGGGAGCAAACA
rnacentral:rRNA from 1 species